rfam:Oreochromis niloticus linkage group LG17, whole genome shotgun sequence.
CCUUCAAUAGCUCAGUUAGUAGAGCAGAGGACCAUAACGUGGAUACCACGUCAUAACCUUAGGUAGUGGAUUAGGUUGACAGCGUAUCCGUGGCUAUCCUUAGUCGCUGGUUCAACUCCAGCUUGAAGGA